GCCUGGGUAGCUCAGUUGGUAGAGCAUCAGACUUUUAAUCUGAGGGCCCAGGGUUCAAGUCCCUGUCCAGGCACUA
rnacentral:tRNA from 1 species